UUGUACACAAAUGACAGGUGUGCUCAGUUUGAUAUGCGAAUAAUAAAUAGUACAUGUGGAUUUUUCUUAAGGAUACAGGUUGUUCAAGUUUGAUAUACAUUAAAGAAUUAAAUACAGAAUUUUGAAGAUACAUUACUCUAAGGACAUAUAUACUGAACAAGUUUAUUGGACGGAAUGUUUUCUCUAACUUGAGAUGUAAGUUCUGCAUGGUUAGAACUUAUGGAAGUAACAAUCGAGAAUCGAGAUACUAAACUUAAAGACAGUUUAGUGUUCCUCCCUACGGGGGCAACGUGCUAGCCAGAUGUUUCUUCAGAGUUCAAGACCAAACCUCCAACAGGAUGACAGGGGAUAGCAGCAGGCAGGCUAUAAAUCCAAGACCAUCAAGAUGACCAAUCAACAGUUCAAUGUGUAUACUGCAUGAUCAGGCCACACAUCAGCAAAUCUAGGAUACCAGGAUGAUAGGUUAUCAUUAACAGUACAUCACUAUCCAUCUAGGAUACUAUGAUGAUAGGUUAUCAUAAACAGUACAUCACUAUCCAUUUAGGAUACCAUGAUGAUAUGUUAUCAUAAACAGUACAUCAAUAUUCAUCUAUGAUACCAUGAUGAUAGGUUAUCAUAAACAGUACAUCACUAUCCAUUUAGGAUAUCAUGAUGAUAUGUUAUCAUAAACAGUACAUCACUAUCCAUUUAGGAUACUAUGAUGAUUGGUUAUCAUAAACAGUACACAUCACUAUCCAUUUAGGAUACCAUGAUGAUAGGUUAUCCUAAACAGUACAUUAAUAUCCAUCUAUUAUACUAUGAUGAUAUGUUAUCAUAAACAGUACAUCAAUAUCCAUCUAUGAUACUAUGAUGAGAUGUUACCAUAAACAGUACAUCACUAUCCAUUUAUGAAAUGGUAUGUAAAAACUUUUUUUUACAUUCAGUAUGUAAUAUAUUAAAUAAAAUAAUUUUACUCACUUGGUUAUUACUUUUGAAAUUCUCUAAAUAUUAAAUAAAAUAAUUUUACUCACUU